GGUUAAGCGACUAAGCGUACACGGUGGAUGCCCUGGCAGUCAGAGGCGAUGAAGGACGUGCUAAUCUGCGAAAAGCGUCGGUAAGGUGAUAUGAACCGUUAUAACCGGCGAUGUCCGAAUGGGGAAACCCAGUGUGAUUCGUCACACUAUCGUUAACUGAAUACAUAGGUUAACGAGGCGAACCGGGGGAACUGAAACAUCUAAGUACCCCGAGGAAAAGAAAUCAACCGAGAUUCCCCCAGUAGCGGCGAGCGAACGGGGAGCAGCCCAGAGUCUGAAUCAGCUUGUGUGUUAGUGGAACGGUCUGGAAAGUCCGACGGUACAGGGUGAUAGUCCCGUACACCAAAAUGCACAGGUUGUGAACUCGAAGAGUAGGGCGGGACACGUGGUAUCCUGUCUGAAUAUGGGGGGACCAUCCUCCAAGGCUAAAUACUCCUGACUGACCGAUAGUGAACCAGUACCGUGAGGGAAAGGCGAAAAGAACCCCGGCGAGGGGAGUGAAAAAGAACCUGAAACCGUGUACGUACAAGCAGUGGGAGCACCUUCGGGUG
rnacentral:rRNA from 1 species